rnacentral:rRNA from 1 species
AUUGAACGCUGGCGGCAUGCCUUACACAUGCAAGUCGAACGGCAGCACGGGAGCAAUCCUGGUGGCGAGUGGCGAACGGGUGAGUAAUAUAUCGGAACGUGCCCACGUCGUGGGGGAUAACGUAGCGAAAGCUACGCUAAUACCGCAUACGAUCUAUGGAUGAAAGCGGGGGAUCGCAAGACCUCGCGCGAUUGGAGCGGCCGAUAUCAGAUUAGGUAGUUGGUGAGGUAAAGGCGUCACCAAGCCGACGAUCUGUAGCUGGUCUGAGAGGACGACCAGCCACACUGGGACUGAGACACGGCCCAGACUCCUACGGGAGGCAGCAGUGGGGAAUUUUUGGGACAAUGGGCGCAAGCCUGAUCCAGCAAUGCCGCGUGCAGGAUGAAGGCCUUC